rnacentral:rRNA from 1 species
GACGGAGGAUGCAAGUGUUAUCCGGAAUCACUGGGCGUAAAGCGUCUGUAGGUGGCACAGUAAGUCAACUGUUAAAUCUUGAAGCUCAACUUCAAACUUGCAGUCGAAACUAUUGAGCUAGAGUAUAGUAGAGGUAAAGGGAAUUUCCAGUGGAGCGGUGAAAUGCGUAGAGAUUGGAAAGAACACCGAUGGCGAAGGCACUUUACUGGGCUAUUACUGACACUCAGAGACGAAAGCUAGGGUAGCAAAUGGG